CAGUCGCCGCGGGAAUGCGGAGGGGGCUAGCGUUGUUCGGAAUUACUGGGCGUAAAGCGCACGUAGGCGGCUUGGUAAGUUAGAGGUGAAAGCCUGGAGCUCAACUCCAGAAUUGCCUUUAAGACUGCCGAGCUAGCAGGUGAGAGAGGUAAGUGGAAUUCCGAGUGUAGAGGUGAAAUUCGUAGAUAUUCGGAAGAACACCAGUGGCGAAGGCGGCUUACUGGCUCAUACUGGACGCUGAGGUGCGAAAGCGUGGGGAGCAAACAGGAUUAGAUACCCGGGUAGUCCCUGUCUCUUAUAC
rnacentral:rRNA from 1 species